CCACGCAGCGCUCCGGAGCCACGCCCCCGUCCCUGGGCGGCAGUGCGCGUUCCCGAGCGGCGCGCGCCUCCCGUCUUUCCUCCCGAGACCUUGCGCGCGCACUGCUGCCCACCCGCGGCUGCCAUCGCCCCUCAGAAAACCAGCGGCGCCAUGUCUUCGCCUCCAGAAGGAAAGCUAGAGACCAAAGCUGGACAUCCGCCCGCCGUGAAAGUGGCUGGGAUUCGGAUUGUGCAGAAACACCCACACACUGGAGAUGGGAAGGAAAAGAAAGACAAGGAUGACCAAGAGUGGGAAAGCACCAGGCCCAAGUGCGUGCUGUGAUCUAAGGAGGUUCCUAAGUUGCACCUCCACACAGGCAGCCAUUGAGUUUGCAUAUCUCCGGACCAGAACAGCUUCUGAUCGGCCGUCUUAGAAGCUGGAGGUGACUGAUGUUCUCCGCUCACCAAAUCCCUCUCCGCUACAUGUGACGGAGAGGGUUACAGAUACCUAAUUCUGAGGAACCAGCAAUAAAGAAGUCAGAGAGCCCUCGUACUGGGUGUA